GACGAACGCUGGCGGCGUGCUUAACACAUGCAAGUCGAACGGAAAGGCCCUGCUUUUGUGGGGUGCUCGAGUGGCGAACGGGUGAGUAACACGUGAGUAACCUGCCCUUGACUUUGGGAUAACUUCAGGAAACUGGGGCUAAUACCGGAUAGGAGCUCCUGCUGCAUGGUGGGGGUUGGAAAGUUUCGGCGGUUGGGGAUGGACUCGCGGCUUAUCAGCUUGUUGGUGGGUAGUGGCUUACCAAGGCUUUGACGGGUAGCCGGCCUGAGAGGGUGACCGGCCACAUUGGGACUGAGAUACGGCCCAGACUCCUACGGGAGGCAGCAGUGGGGAAUAUUGCACAAUGGGCGGAAGCCUGAUGCAGCAACGCCGCGUGCGGGAUGACGACCUUCGGGUUGUAAACCGCUUUCGCCUGUGACGAAGCGUGAGUGACGGUAAUGGGUAAAGAAGCACCGGCUAACUACGUG
rnacentral:rRNA from 1 species